rnacentral:rRNA from 1 species
CAUACUGCCGUGAAUACGUUCCCGGGCCUUGUACACACCGCCCGUCACACCAUGAGAGUUGGGGAUACCCAAAGCCCGUGAGCCAACUUUAAAAGAGGCAGCGGUCUAAGGUAGAAUCAAUGAUUGGGGUGAAGUCGUAACAAGGUACC